UACGAAGGGUGCAAGCGUUACUCGGAAUUACUGGGCGUAAAGCGUGCGUAGGUGGUGAGUUAAGUCUGUCGUGAAAGCCCCGGGCUCAACCUGGGAAUGGCGAUGGAUACUGGCUCGCUAGAGUGCGGUAGAGGGUGGUGGAAUUCCCGGUGUAGCAGUGAAAUGCGCAGAGAUCGGGAGGAACAUCAGUUGCGAAGGCGGCCACCUGGACCAGCACUGACACUGAGGCACGAAAGCGUGGGGAGCAAACAGG
rnacentral:rRNA from 1 species